UUGGAAAGAGAGUUAAACAGUACGUGAAAUUGCUGAAAGGAAACGCUUGAAGUCAGUCGCGUCGGCCGGGCUCAGCCUUGCAUUCGUUUGCUCGGUUUACUUCCCGGUCGACGGGCCAGCGUCGAUUUUGACCGUCGGAGAAGGGCCAGAGGAAAGUGGCACCUUCGGGUGUGUUAUAGCCUUCGGUCGCAUACGACGGUUGGGAUCGAGGAACGCAGCACGCCUUC
rnacentral:rRNA from 1 species